GCCUGGCUGGCUCAGUCAGUUAAGCAUCUGACUUCAGCUCAGAUCAUGAUCUCAUGGUUUGUGAGUUUGAGCCCCAUGUCGGGCU
rnacentral:tRNA from 1 species